rnacentral:tRNA from 1 species
GAGGGUAUAGCUCAGUGGUAGAACACGUGCUUAGCAUGCAGAAGAUUCUGGGUUCAAUCCCCAAUACCUCCA